CAGGAGAUUUUUGUGACAUACGGAUCAACGAAUUCCUUUGACCACCUUCAAUAGAAUUUCAUAAAACCAUGUUUAAAAAAUGUCAAUAUCCGUUUGUAAGUCUGAACUGCGGAAAAUAUUGCAAUACUGCAGGCAUAACUUAACGUCAUCCGCAUACAUAAGCCAACACUUAAAUUAUUGUAAAUAUAAAUUAAAACGUAAAAAUGGAACUGCCAUGAACAUCGGCCGUAGCCGAAGCCGGAGAAGCAGCCGCAGCCGAAACCGCAUUGCUUGUAUUCUCCGUACACAUAAUACGUUCACGAUCCCUGCGCGAACACAAUGUUUCCGAAAAGUGAACUACUUGCAAAUGACGACAUUUCCCAAAGCGCAAAUCCAUCAUGUUUCCUCCAUCUCUCCAGCUAAACAACACAUCUGCGUCAAAUGACCAAGGAAUUGACGAUUUGCUUGCGGACUUUUUCCAAGGCCCUUAUUCUUUAAAUAAUCUGAUACCUAAUUUCAGUUAUCCCUACCAGCUUCCCCAUACUGACUUAAUUUUCAGUCCUUGAAUGGAGGAAAAUGAAGUUUCUCGAGUACUUGCCUUAUUCAAAAAGUCAUUUUCCACGGGUUCGGACAUGGUGCCGAGCUGUGUUCUCAAAUACUGUGCCAGCUCACUUGCAGUUCCAUUGAAAAAGAUCUUUCAAAAAUCAAUUGAUCAUUGCACCUUUCCGGACAUUUGGAAGGAAUCCUUUAUCAUUCCCCUUCACAAAAUGGGAAGCAGGACUGACUUUAGCAACUACAGCGGUAUUGACAAAUUUAGUGCCAUUCCUAAGCUUUUCAAAAAAAUCAUUUGCGAACAACUGCAGAACCAGUGUAGCUGUAUAUUAUCUUAAUAUCAACAUGGCUUUACAAAACGUCGUUCACCUACGACUAAUCUACUUGAGUUUACAACAUUCAUUAGUCAAGGCUUUCAAUCCUCAAAGCAAUCUGAUGUAAUUUUCACGAACUUUAGUAAAGCGUUCGGUCAACCAUAAGCUACUAAUUCACAAGCUUCUCGUUAUCGGAUUUCCUCCAAAUCUACUAGCGUUCCUACUCAAUCGUAAAGUAUAAAGUUUACUUCAAAACUCAGCAAGUUCCCACAUGUAGCUCAAGCUCGACUAAAACAACCUUCAAUCCUGGUGCCAAGUCCAUAAGCUAGUGGAGGAUCCAAAAAAUGUAAAUCCAUUCAAUUUUACCGAUCCAAUCCAAAUGUUUGCACAUACUACAUUGAUCAUACUGCUUUGAAGACAUAUAUACCGUUCAAGAUCUUGGUGUUCUGUUCAAACAAAAGAUUUGCUUCAAUCGCCACAUCACUACCAUUUCCAAUAAAGACAAAAGUCUUCUAGCUUUCAUCAAGCGCUGGUCUAAGGAUUUCGACGCACCAUUUUAGUGCUCUUAUGAGUCGAACUCAUUUUAAUUUACAUUUUGCUUCUUAUACAUCUCCGACAUAUAUAAACAUCAUCAGGAAGGGAAGACGGGACGAGUUUGGACGACGGAACGGAAAUGAAAUCGGCAGCCGGGACCGGGCAAAGAAGGCACCGUCAACGAAAAAGGUCACCGUUGGCGAAAUAAACAAGACAAAUAAAGAUACAUUAUACAAUAUCUGGACCACUGCAGGAAGAUUUAUUGCCGUAUUCAUAUACAUAAAAGCCGUUUAAUUCACCGCACCACACUGGCACUGGAUUUUUUAUUUGAUUUUCUUUUUGUUGAAUAUAAAACAAUUAUUGGUCUACAGAAAGUAGGUUGACCUAAUUUAAUUUAU